GAAUUCAAAUAACUUAAAAUACAGAACUUUCAACGUUCAUACAUUCAAAGCCAAUUUUUACCAAAGAAUCAGCCUGAACAUUAUCAAUGGCAAUGGGUCGAACCAUCAAUCUCCAGGUACCAUCUCUUCAACUUGGCAAGGUUUUGUUUUGUUUUGUUUUGUUUUAGGACUUUGUUAAUCUGAAAGAGAACAAAAGGUAAAGACUUGGACUCAAUCACACACGCAUGAAAUGAAAGGGUUGCUUAUGUUGAGAUCAAACUUUUGAGAAGCCUACAUGGUUGCUUUAAGUCUGAAGCUUUGUUUUUUAGCUCUUGAUCUCAGCAGUGCCUCCAAAUGCUUGUCGCUAAGACGUGUUGGGGGCAAUUAACCAUAUGUCUCAUAUGCGUUAGAGAAUAAGAACGCCAUCCUCAUGGACGAAGUACUGAAACUCCUCAAGGCAAAUGACCUGCUGCCUCUACAACCCGGACAUAAACCCUGAUGAGAAGAAGUCAGCACUUGAGGCUGAACUCAAGAAGCUGGUUAACGAGUGGCCGCUGUAUGUUCUGAAAGCAUCAAAACAAAGAAGAUAACAAUAUAGAAUUUUUCUUUUGAAAUGAAUUCAUUUUGUUCAUACUGGAAACCAAAAGAUUAUAACC